rnacentral:lncRNA from 1 species
UGAGAAGACCUUCCUGAAAGUGGACCAAAAAGUCGAGCAAGGGAUCUUGAAAGGACAGCCCUGUUCCAGAUGGAAAUGGUAAUCCUCCAUUUCUCCACCUCUGCAUUCACCAAACACCGACUACAUCUUUGAA